rnacentral:rRNA from 1 species
GAUGAACGCUGGCGGCGUGCCUAAUACAUGCAAGUCGAGCGAACGGACGAGAAGCUUGCUUCUCUGAUGUUAGCGGCGGACGGGUGAGUAACACGUGGAUAACCUACCUAUAAGACUGGGAUAACUUCGGGAAACCGGAGCUAAUACCGGAUAAUAUUUUGAACCGCAUGGUUCAAAAGUGAAAGACGGUCUUGCUGUCACUUAUAGAUGGAUCCGCGCUGCAUUAGCUAGUUGGUAAGGUAACGGCUUACCAAGGCAACGAUGCAUAGCCGACCUGAGAGGGUGAUCGGCCACACUGGAACUGAGACACGGUCCAGACUCCUACGGGAGGCAGCAGUAGGGAAUCUUCCGCAAUGGGCGAAAGCCUGACGGAGCAACGCCGCGUGAGUGAUGAAGGUCUUCGGAUCGUAAAACUCUGUUAUUAGGGAAGAACAUAUGUGUAAGUAACUGUGCACAUCUUGACGGUACCUAAUCAGAAAGCCACGGCUAACUACGUGCCAGCAGCCGCGGUAAUACGUAGGUGGCAAGCGUUAUCCGGAAUUAUUGGGCGUAAAGCGCGCGUAGGCGGUUUUUUAAGUCUGAUGUGAAAGCCCACGGCUCAACCGUGGAGGGUCAUUGGGAACUGGAAAACUUGAGUGCAGAAGAGGAAAGUGGAAUUCCAUGUGUAGCGGUGAAAUGCGCAGAGAUAUGGAGGAACACCAGUGGCGAAGGCGACUUUCUGGUCUGUAACUGACGCUGAUGUGCGAAAGCGUGGGGAUCAAACAGGAUUAGAUACCCUGGUAGUCCACGCCGUAAACGAUGAGUGCUAAGUGUUAGGGGGUUUCCGCCCCUUAGUGCUGCAGCUAACGCAUUAAGCACUCCGCCUGGGGAGUACGACCGCAAGGUUGAAACUCAAAGGAAUUGACGGGGACCCGCACAAGCGGUGGAGCAUGUGGUUUAAUUCGAAGCAACGCGAAGAACCUUACCAAAUCUUGACAUCCUUUGACAACUCUAGAGAUAGAGCUUUCCCCUUCGGGGGACAAAGUGACAGGUGGUGCAUGGUUGUCGUCAGCUCGUGUCGUGAGAUGUUGGGUUAAGUCCCGCAACGAGCGCAACCCUUAAGCUUAGUUGCCAUCAUUAAGUUGGGCACUCUAAGUUGACUGCCGGUGACAAACCGGAGGAAGGUGGGGAUGACGUCAAAUCAUCAUGCCCCUUAUGAUUUGGGCUACACACGUGCUACAAUGGACAAUACAAAGGGCAGCGAAACCGUGAGGUCAAGCAAAUCCCAUAAAGUUGUUCUCAGUUCGGAUUGUAGUCUGCAACUCGACUACAUGAAGCUGGAAUCGCUAGUAAUCGUAGAUCAGCAUGCUACGGUGAAUACGUUCCCGGGUCU